AACGAACGCUGGCGGCAUGCCUAACACAUGCAAGUCGAACGAAUGGUUUCGGCCAUUAGUGGCGCACGGGUGAGUAACGCGUGGGAAUCUGCCCAGCAGUGGGGGAUAACCUCUGGAAACGGAGGCUAAUACCGCAUACGCCCCUCGGGGGAAAGGCUUGCUGCUGCUGGAGGAGCCCGCGUCGGAUUAGGUAGUUGGUGGGGUAACGGCCUACCAAGCCUGUGAUCCGUAGCUGGUCUGAGAGGAUGAUCAGCCACACUGGGACUGAGACACGGCCCAGACUCCUACGGGAGGCAGCAGUGGGGAAUAUUGGACAAUGGGCGCAAGCCUGAUCCAGCAAUGCCGCGUGAGUGAUGAAGGCCUUCGGUUGUAAGACUCUUCGUCCACCGACCGAUGAUGACGGUAGUGGGA
rnacentral:rRNA from 1 species